CCUUGGGGGGUGCCCUAUACAUGCAAGUCGAGCGCAAAGAUCAGGAGCUUGCUCCUGUGAUUUGAGCGGCGGACGGGUGAGUAACACGUAGGCAACCUACCCUUGAGAUUGGGAUAACUACCGGAAACGGUAGCUAAUACCGGAUACGACCUUUCCACACAAGUGGAAUUGUUAAAAGGCGGAUUUAUCUGCCGCUCAUGGAUGGGCCUGCGGUGCAUUAGCUAGUUGGUGAGAUAGUAGCUCACCAAGGCGACGAUGCAUAGCCGACCUGAGAGGGUGAUCGGCCACACUGGGACUGAGACACGGCCCAGACUCCUACGGGAGGCAGCAGUAGGGAAUCUUCCGCAAUGGACGAAAGUCUGACGGAGCAACGCCGCGUGAGUGAUGAAGGGUUUCGGCUCGUAAAACUCUGUUGUUAAGGAAGAAUACUUGAGGUAGUAACUGGCCUUGAGAUGACGGUACUUAACCAGAAAGCCACGGCUAACUACGUGCCAGCAGCCGCGGUAAUACGUAGGUGGCAAGCGUUAUCCGGAAUUAUUGGGCGUAAAGCGCGCGUAGGCGGUAAAAUAAGUCUGAUGUGAAAGCCCCCGGCUCAACCGGGGAGGGUCAUUGGAAACUGUUUUACUUGAGUACAGAAGAGGAGAGUGGAAUUCCAUGUGUAGCGGUGAAAUGCGCAGAGAUAUGGAGGAACACCAGUGGCGAAGGCGGCUCUCUGGUCUGUUACUGACGCUGAGGUGCGAAAGCGUGGGGAUCAAACAGGAUUAGAUACCCUGGUAGUCCACGCCGUAAACGAUGAGUGCUAAGUGUGGGGGGUUUCCGCCCCUCAUUGCUGCAGCUAACGCAUUAAGCACUCCGCCUGGGGAGUACGACCGCAAGGUGAACUCAAGGAAUUGACGUGGACCCGCACAAGCGGUGGAGCAUGUGUAUAAUUCGAAGAACGCGAAAACCUUACCAAAUCUUGACAUCUCUGACAAUGGUAAAGAUACAGCCUC
rnacentral:rRNA from 1 species